rnacentral:rRNA from 1 species
UACGGAAGGGGCCAGCGUUGUUCGGAAUUACUGGGCGUAAAGAGCGCGUAGGCGGCUUACCAAGUUGGGGGUGAAAUCCCGGAGCUCAACUCCGGAACUGCCUUCAAAACUGGUAGGCUCGAGUCCGGUAGAGGGGCGUGGAAUUCCCAGUGUAGAGGUGAAAUUCGUAGAUAUUGGGAAGAAAACCGGUGGCGAAGGCGCGGCCCUGGUCCGGUACUGACGCUGGGGCGCCACAGCGUGCGGAGCAAAUACG